rnacentral:rRNA from 1 species
UGGGGAAUAUUGGACAAUGGGGGGAACCCUGAUCCAGCCAUGCCGCGUGUGUGAAGAAGGCCUUUUGGUUGUAAAGCACUUUAAGCGAGGAGGAGGCUACUCUAGUUAAUACCUAGAGAUAGUGGACGUUACUCGCAGAAUAAGCACCGGCUAACUCUGUGCCAGCAGCCGCGGUAAUACAGAGGGUGCAAGCGUUAAUCGGAUUUACUGGGCGUAAAGCGCGCGUAGGUGGCCAAUUAAGUCAAAUGUGAAAUCCCCGAGCUUAACUUGGGAAUUGCAUUCGAUACUGGUUGGCUAGAGUAUGGGAGAGGAUGGUAGAAUUCCAGGUGUAGCGGUGAAAUGCGUAGAGAUCUGGAGGAAUACCGAUGGCGAAGGCAGCCAUCUGGCCUAAUACUGACACUGAGGUGCGAAAGCAUGGGGAGCAAACAGGAUUAGAUACCCUGGUAGUCCAUGCCGUAAACGAUGUCUACUAGCCGUUGGGGCCUUUGAGGCUUUAGUGGCGCAGCUAACGCGAUAAGUAGACCGGCUGGGGAGUACGGUCGCAAGACUA